AACGAACGCUGGCGGCGCGUCUUAAGCAUGCAAGUCGAACGGCAAGAGAGGAGCUUGCUUCUCUCCUAGAGUGGCGGACUGGUGAGGAACACGUGGGUAAUCUACCCUUAAGAUGGGGAUAGCUGCUAGAAAUAGCAGGUAAUACCGAAUACACUCGGCAUAUCACAAGAGGUGUUGAGGAAAGGAAGCUACGGCUUCGCAUGAGGAUGAGCUUGCGUCCCAUUAGCUAGUUGGUGAGGUAAAGGCCCACCAAGGCGACGAUGGGUAUCCGGCCUGAGAGGGUGAACGGACACAUUGGGACUGAGAUACGGCCCAAACUCCUACGGGAGGCAGCAGCUAAGAAUAUUCCGCAAUGGACGGAAGUCUGACGGAGCGACGCCGCGUGGAUGAAGAAGGCUGAAAAGUUGUAAAAUCCUUUUGUUGAUGAAGAAUAAGGGUGAGAGGGAAUGCUCAUCUGAUGACGGUAAUCGACGAAUAAGCCCCGGCUAAGUACGUG
rnacentral:rRNA from 1 species